rnacentral:lncRNA from 10 species
GUUUUACCAAUUUGUGUCCUGCUUUUAGGCAAAUAGGAAGAGGCAGACAGCUUGCUCUUUCCCUCCCUCCCUUCCUUCCUUCCUCCCUCUCUUCCUCACUUCCCCCUCCCUUCCUCCCUCCCUUCCUCCCUUCCUUCCUUCCUCCCUUCCUUCCUCCCUUCCUUUCUCCCUUCCUCCCUUCCUCCCUCUCUCCCUCCUCCCUUCCUCCUUCCCUCCCUCUCUCCCUUCCUCCCUUCCUCCCUCUUUCUUUUCUUUCUUUCUGACAGAGUCAUGAAAGAAAGAGCCCAGGCUGGAGUGCAGUGGUAUGAUGAUAGCUCACUGUAGUCUCGACCUGCUGGGCUCAAGCGAUCCUCCCACCUCAGCCUCCCGAGUAGCUGGUACUGUAGGCACAUGCCACUAUGCCUGGCUAAUUUUUGUAUUUUUUUGUAGAGACAGGGUUUUGCCAUGUUGCUUAGGCUGGUCUUGAACUCCCGGGCUUGUGAUCCACCAAUCUUGGCCUCCCAAAGUGCCGGAAUUACAGCUGGAGCAAACCUCUCCUGGAUGCACAUCUCUGGAAGCCCCAGGUUCUGAAUGGCAGCUGGAUCUCAGGUCUUUCGAUGCUGAACACGGGAGAGACUGAGGUCUCAGGAUGGCUGGAAAAGUUGGGAUCCUUCACCACAAGGCACCAGAUGCUGAACAAUCUGCUGAAGAGGAGGAAGAAGAGGAUGGGUUGGUCUUGAUGUCUCACGGGUGGCAGAGGCAGAAGAAAAUCCAUCUCACGUGACAGUCACAUGAUUUCUGCAGUGAGCCCCAAAGCUUCCACGAGCUUUCCUGGAACCUACGGCCAGAAGAGUCCUGAGAUUUCGAAUAUUAAAGCUUUCUCC